rnacentral:rRNA from 1 species
GACGAACGCUGGCGGCGUGCUUAACACAUGCAAGUCGAGCGGUAAGGCCCUUUCGGGGUACGACGAGCGGCGAACGGGUAGGAGUAACAACGUGGGUGGACCUCGCCCUCCAGCUCUGGGAGUAAGACCUCGGGAAACCGGGGUACCGUAAUAACUGGAGUAUGACUCCACUGACGCAUGUUGGUUGGGGUGGGAAAGACCUUCGUUGCGGCGUGAGGAGUGGGCCCGGCCGGCCGUACUCAGCGUUGUUUGGGUUGGGGGU